rnacentral:rRNA from 1 species
AGCGAACGCUGGCGGCAGGCCUAACACAUGCAAGUCGAACGAACUCUUCGGAGUUAGUGGCGGACGGGUGAGUAACACGUGGGAACGUGCCUUUUGGUUCGGAAUAACUCAGUGAAACUUGUGCUAAUACCGAAUGUGCCCUUCGGGGGAAAGAUUUAUCGCCAUUAGAGCGGCCCGCGUCUGAUUAGCUAGUUGGUGAGGUAACGGCUCACCAAGGCGACGAUCAGUAGCUGGUCUGAGAGGAUGACCAGCCACACUGGGACUGAGACACGGCCCAGACUACUACGGGAGGCAGCAGUGGGGAAUAUUGCGCAAUGGGCGAAAGCAUGACGAAGCCAUGCCGCGUGAAUGAUGAAGGUCUUAGGAUUGUAAAAUUCUUUCACCGGGGACGAUAAUGACGGUAACAGGAGAAGAAGCCCCGGCUAACUACGUG